rnacentral:rRNA from 1 species
CCAGCACCCCGAGUGGUCGGGACGAUUAUUGGGCCUAAAGCAUCCGUAGCCGGUUUUACAAGUCCUCCGUUAAAUCCAACUGCUUAACAGAUGGGCCGCGGAGGAUACUAUAAGACUAGGAGGCAGGAGAGGCAAGCGGUACUCAGUGGGUAGGGGUAAAAUCCGUUGAUCCAUUGAAGACCACCAGUGGCGAAGGCGGCUUGCCAGAAUGCGCUCGACGGUGAGGGAUGAAAGCUGGGGGAGCAAACCGGAUUAGAUACCCGGGUAGUCCCAGCUGUAAACGAUGCAGACUCGGUGAUGACUAGCUUCAUGCUAGUCCAGUGCCGCAGGGAAGCCGUUAAGUCUGCCGCCUGGGUAGUACGGUCGCAAGACUG